rnacentral:rRNA from 1 species
AGAGUUUGAUCAUGGCUCAGAUUGAACGCUGGCGGCAUGCCUUACACAUGCAAGUCGAACGCGAAAGGGGGCAACCCCGAGUAGAGUGGCGAACGGGUGAGCAAUACAUCGGAACGUGUCCUGUAGCGGGGGACAACCUCGAGAAAUCGAGGCUAAUACCGCAUACGAUCUACGGAUGAAAAGUGGGGGACCGCAAGGCCCCACACUAUAGGAGCGGCCGAUGCCGGAUUAGCUAGUUGGUGGGGUAACGGCCUACCAAGGCGACGAUCCGUAGCUGGUUUGAGAGAACGACCAGCCACACUGGGACUGAGACACGGCCCAGACUCCUACGGGAGGCAGCAGUGGGGAAUUUUGGACAAUGGGCGAAAGCCUGAUCCAGCCAUGCCGCGUGAGUGAAGAAGGCCUUCGGGUUGUAAAGCUCUUUCGGCGGGGACGAAAUUGCGCGGGGUAACAUCCCGCGUAGAUGACGGUACCCGAAGAAGAAGGACCGGCUAACUACGUGCCAGCAGCCGCGGUAAUACGUAGGGUCCAAGCGUUAAUCGGAAUUACUGGGCGUAAAGCGUGCGUAGGCGGUCUCGCAAGUCCGAUGUGAAAUCCCCGAGCUUAACUUGGGAACUGCGUUGGAAACUAUGAGGCUAGAGUGCGGCAGAGGGGGGUGGAAUUCCAGGUAGCAGUGAAAUGCGUAGAGAUCUGGAGGAACACCGAUGGCGAAGGCAGCCCCCUGGGUUAGCACUGACGCUGAUACACGAAAGCGUGGGGAGCAAACAGGAUUAGAUACCCUAGUAGUCC